rnacentral:lncRNA from 1 species
UGCAUCUGUACGUUUGAUUGGUAAUAGCAUGCUUUGUUGAAAGAAACGAGCAUGUGGUGCUCUGCAUUUCCUGACACUAAGUUAGGGCUUACUAAUUUCGAUUGCAAAAAAUCCCAUGAGUGAGAUAGGUACUUCCAAACAGUCCAAUUGUGCACGUACAGUGAGCUGCAUGGGUAGUCUGCACAUCCGAAACCUCAAUUCUUAUAGGUAAACAUAUUCUAUUUGAAACUGAAUAUUGCCAUCCUUUUAAUAUUUAUUUUAUUUUAUUUUUGUUUGGUGACGAAGAUAAUGAGAAAACCACUAGGAAAGAUCUUCUGCAUAAGGAACAUAGCACCCUACAUCACAGUAUAACGAUGAACACAAUGGGUAUGCCAGUAGUUGCUCUUUCAUUCAUACACCAAGUAAUCUUUGUUACCAUAUUCGCUUCUAAAAAAGUAAUCUUCCUCCCUGGCUUUCUAGCAAUUGCAUAACCUGCAGACUUAUUAGAUGUACGAACCA